CAGAACCACAUGGAAACACUACCACCA
rnacentral:piRNA from 1 species